UAAGCCUGCGAAGGUGGCCUGUGAGGGUUGCUGGAGGUAUCAGAAGUGCGAAUGCUGACAUAAGUAACGAUAAAGCGGGUGAAAAGCCCGCUCGCCGGAAGACCAAGGGUUCCUGUCCAACGUUAAUCGGGGCAGGGUGAGUCGACCCCUAAGGCGAGGCCGAAAGGCGUAGUCGAUGGGAAACGGGUUAAUAUUCCCGUACUUGGUGUUACUGCGAAGGGGGGACGGAGAAGGCUAUGUUGGCCGGGCGACGGUUGUCCCGGUUUAAGCGUGUAGGUGUGUGUUCCAGGUAAAUCCGGUUCACUUUAACACUGAGGCGUGACGACGAGGCACUACGGUGCUGAAGCAACAAAUGCCCUGCUUCCAGGAAAAGCCUCUAAGCAUCAGGUAACAUCAAAUCGUACCCCAAACCGACACAGGUGGUCAGGUAGAGAAUACCAAGGCGCUUGAGAGAACUCGGGUGAAGGAACUAGGCAAAAUGGUGCCGUAACUUCGGGAGAAGGCACGCUGACACGUAGGUGAAGUGAUUUACUCACGGAGCUGAAGUCAGUCGAAGAUACCAGCUGGCUGCAACUGUUUAUUAAAAACACAGCACUGUGCAAACACGAAAGUGGACGUAUACGGUGUGACGCCUGCCCGGUGCCGGAAGGUUAAUUGAUGGGGUCAGCGCAAGCGAAGCUCCUGAUCGAAGCCCCGGUAAACGGCGGCCGUAACUAUAACGGUCCUAAGGUAGCGAAAUUCCUUGUCGGGUAAGUUCCGACCUGCACGAAUGGCGUAAUGAUGGCCAGGCUGUCUCCACCCGAGACUCAGUGAAAUUGAACUCGCUGUGAAGAUGCAGUGUACCCGCGGCAAGACGGAAAGACCCCGUGAACCUUUACUAUAGCUUGACACUGAACAUUGAGCCUUGAUGUGUAGGAUAGGUGGGAGGCUUUGAAGUGUGGACGCCAGUCUGCAUGGAGCCGACCUUGAAAUACCACCCUUUAAUGUUUGAUGUUCUAACGUGGACCCGUGAUCCGGGUUGCGGACAGUGUCUGGUGGGUAGUUUGACUGGGGCGGUCUCCUCCUAAAGAGUAACGGAGGAGCACGAAGGUUGGCUAAUCCUGGUCGGACAUCAGGAGGUUAGUGCAAUGGCAUAAGCCAGCUUGACUGCGAGCGUGACGGCGCGAGCAGGUGCGAAAGCAGGUCAUAGUGAUCCGGUGGUUCUGAAUGGAAGGGCCAUCGCUCAACGGAUAAAAGGUACUCCGGGGAUAACAGGCUGAUACCGCCCAAGAGUUCAUAUCGACGGCGGUGUUUGGCACCUCGAUGUCGGCUCAUCACAUCCUGGGGCUGAAGUAGGUCCCAAGGGUAUGGCUGUUCGCCAUUUAAAGUGGUACGCGAGCUGGGUUUAGAACGUCGUGAGACAGUUCGGUCCCUAUCUGCCGUGGGCGCUGGAGAACUGAGGGGGGCUGCUCCUAGUACGAGAGGACCGGAGUGGACGCAUCACUGGUGUUCGGGUUGUCAUGCCAAUGGCACUGCCCGGUAGCUAAAUGCGGAAGAGAUAAGUGCUGAAAGCAUCUAAGCACGAAACUUGCCCCGAGAUGAGUUCUCCCUGAGACUUAGAGUCUCCUGAAGGAACGUUGAAGACGACGACGUUGAUAGGCCGGGUGUGUAAGCGCAGCGAUGCGUUGAGCUAACCGGUACUAAUGAACCGUGAGGCUUAACCUUACAACGCCGAAG
rnacentral:rRNA from 1 species